rnacentral:rRNA from 1 species
GACGAACGCUGGCGGCGUGCUUAACACAUGCAAGUCGAGCGAUGAAGCUCCUUCGGGCGUGGAUUAGCGGCGGACGGGUGAAUAACACGUGGGCAACCUGCCUUAUAGAGAGGAAUAGACAUCCGAAAGGAUGAUUAAUACCUCAUAAUCUUGUAGCUUCGCAUGGAGCAACAAUCAAAGGAGCAAUCCACUAUAAGAUGGGCCCGCGGCGCAUUGGCUAGUUGGUGAGGUACCGGCUCACCACAGCGCCGGUGCAUAGCCGACCUGAGAGGGUGAUCGGCCACAUUGGGACUGAGACACGGCCCAGACUCCUACGGGAGGCAGCAGUGGGGAAUAUUGCACAAUGGGGGAAACCCUGAUGCAGCAACGCCGCGUGAGUGAUGACGGCCUUCGGGUUGUAAAGCUCUGUCUUCAGGGACGAUAAUGACGGUACCUGAGGAGGAAGCCACGGCUAACUACGUGCCAGCAGCCGCCGUAA